rnacentral:misc_RNA from 1 species
AAGUCGUAACAAGGUUUCCGUAGGUGAACCUGCGGAAGGAUCAUUAACACGUUUUUAACGUUUAAUGUACCUUAACAUUAUUAAACUAAACCGGUAACCUAAACCUUCCCUAAUGGCAGGAUAACUGUUCGUCAACUCCAUGGUGGGUACAUGAGUCACAUCUGUACGGGGAGACGGGCUAUCAGCUUCGAGCUGACAGUUGUUCUGCUGUUGGGCCAAUUUUUUUUUAAUUCUCCCUCCCAUCAUGUCUUUCUUCUCAUGAGACAUGGUGGUGAUAGAAUAUCAAACACACCCUAUUCACCCUUUUAACCUUAUUUGACUGAUGCGCAGGAAAGGCCAGAUUUUCGGAUCUGUUCCUUAACUGAGUUUAUCUAAACCUAAGCACAACUCUUAGCAAUGGAUAUCUUGGUUCUC